AACACCCCUGCAAGGUAGCUAUUAUUAUCUCCAUGUUAUAAACAAGCAAACCAAAGCUUCAAGAUGUAUAGUAAGCCACCCCAGGCUCAGAGAUGAGGAGCGGUGAAGUUGAUAUUAGAUCUCAGGUGCUUUCACCUGGCCCCCAAGUCUUCUACAACAUUAUAUCAAGGAUAGAUCUACAGAGACCAAAAUGCUCAUUUUCAAGACUGUCACAGAAGAGAAUGAUAACAGCCUUGAUACAUAGCCAUUACUGCUCAUGUCACAAGUUAAACAUGAUGCUUUGAAAAAUGUUUACACCAUUGAAUAUCAUUCAGAAAUCCAUCGUUUCCAGGUGCCUGGAUGGCUCAGUUGUUAAGCAGCUGCCUUUGGCUCAGGU